rnacentral:rRNA from 1 species
AAGUAUCAAUACCUAAUUUUCUUCCCAAUAAAAGCAGUUUACAACCCAUAGGGCCGUCAUCCUGCACGCGGGAUGGCUGGUUCAGAGUUGCCUCCAUUGACCAAUAUUCCUU